GUUGAUCUGUGUUUCACACUGUCGGUCCACCGCUCGCGGUGUUUACUGACAUGAUGUGGGACGUCCUACCGGUGGGCUUAGCUCUUCGGGGCGGUCCAACUAAUACCCCAUCGCGGUGCUCUUCACUGAGUGUCGAGAUGGGCCGGUACGUUUACUUUGAACAAAUUAGAGUGCUUAAAGCAGGCUAGCUUCGCCUGAAUACUGUGUGCAUGGAAUAAUGGAAUAGGACCUCGGUUCUAUUUUGUUGGUUUUCGGAACCCCGAGGUAAUGAUUAAUAGGGACAGAUGGGGGCAUUCGUAUUGCGAC
rnacentral:rRNA from 1 species